ACUUCACUGUGGGUGUGUGUUCUUUCCAGAUGCCCUCUAUCUGCAUGGCUCUGCUUCCUGAUCUACCAUGGCACGAACAGCGACAUUGGACAUCGAGCCAUGGGACAACUGGAGCAAACCGUGCCUGGCACAGAGCAAUUGUGCAUGAGAAAGAACCAACCAGGUAUUGGAACAAGAACCCAAGACCACUGAAUAACAAUCUCAGCCCUCUCUAAAUUUCAUUUUGAGACAGGGUCUCACUAAAUUGCCAGGCUGACUUCAGACUUUUCUAUCAUCCAACCUCACCCUCGCAAAUGGAUGAAAGAGCAAGCAUGAACCACGACACCGGCUUUGUUGCAGUUUUAAUUAAAUAGGUCAAGUAGCUGUGCACAAAUAACUCUUUCUGGCAUUAUAACAAUGCUAAGCACCAUGUUCUGUGUUUAUUUGUACCCACCAGACCUUCUUUGGGGCAGUAUGUUUUCACAUCUUUUACACAUCCUAUAUAGGCCAUUUUCCUUUCUGCCAACUUCUAAGCAUUUUUACAUAUUUUUGGUACAAAUCUUCCAUUAGAUUACUGUUUUUGGCAUGUUUUCUCCUGGCCCACAGUUGGCUUUUUCAGUCUCCUAAUGGUAUAUUUCAAGGAGCAGACUUUUUUUUUCCUCUCACUUUGAUGAAAGCCAGCCUUUCUUGCCUUUUUUGGCUCAUGGCUUUUGGGUCCUUAUCUAAG